ensembl:snRNA U6 U6 spliceosomal RNA
GUGCUUGCUUGCUUUGGCAGCGCAUAAACUAAAAUUGGAACGAUAUAGAGAUCAGCAUGGCCCCUGUACAAGGAAGACAUGCAAAUUUGUGAAGCAUUGAAAAAAAAA